GCGGGGAUAGCUCAGUUGGGAGAGCGUCCGACUGAAGACCUGAAGGUCGCGUGUUCGAUCCACGCUUGCCGCA
rnacentral:tRNA from 1 species